CUCAGCAUAUGAGCAGCUCCCUUUCCUGAACCCUCACAAGGUCUAUAAUUUCUCACUUGAACCAAAGAGUCUUCUUUGUUCACUCAUGCUCCUGUGACAGCCAUGGACACUCUGCUUUUCUGGCUGACAGCCACAAAAUUUGCAACACACACAUAAAAGUGAUCAGCUACAACACCGACUAGGGGAGAUAAUAAAGAGAACCAGCAGCUUCUCUGAGUGUUGCAGUACUGCUUGUACCCUGAAUUGAGGAGGCACUCUAUUGAACAUAGUAAAAACUAAGAAUGACUGGGAUUUCACGUGAUGUACAAGGGAAGUAUCAAUGCAGUGUCCUUGGUGGGGACCUGGGGUGACGUUCACAGAUGAACAAAUAUAGUGAGAGCAAAAUUUUUGUUUGUAUUGUGCAGACCUACUCCAGGAGAAGGAGAAAGCUGACUUCACUUUUUCCACCAUUCAGGGAAGGACUGUCUGAAAUGGAAGCUGAGUACACCUUUCUACCUAAGAGAAAACUCUCUUGUAAAUAGGGAGGACACUUAUAUUUUAUGACUUACUCUUUAAUUUUCCAAAGCCCCAA